AGCGAACGCUGGCGGCAGGCCUAACACAUGCAAGUCGAACGAACUCUUCGGAGUUAGUGGCGGACGGGUGAGUAACACGUGGGAACGUGCCUUUUGGUUCGGAAUAACUCAGGGAAACUUGUGCUAAUACCGAAUGUGCCCUUCGGGGGAAAGAUUUAUCGCCAUUAGAGCGGCCCGCGUCUGAUUAGCUAGUUGGGGAGGUAACGGCUCACCAAGGCGACGAUCAGUAGCUGGUCUGAGAGGAUGACCAGCCACACUGGGACUGAGACACGGCCCAGACUCCUACGGGAAGCAGCAGUGGGGAAUCUUGCGCAAUGGGCGAAAGCCUGACGCAGCCAUGCCGCGUGAAUGAUGAAGGUCUUAGGAUUGUAAAAUUCUUUCACCGGGGACGAUAAUGACGGUACCCGGAGAAGAAGCCCCGGCUAACUUCGUG
rnacentral:rRNA from 1 species